rnacentral:rRNA from 1 species
AUUGAACGCUGGCGGAAUGCUUUACACAUGCAAGUCGAACGGCAGCACGGGGGCAACCCUGGUGGCGAGUGGCGAACGGGUGAGUAAUAUAUCGGAACGUGCCCAGUCGUGGGGGAUAACGUAGCGAAAGUUACGCUAAUACCGCAUACGAUCUACGGAUGAAAGCGGGGGAUCGCAAGACCUCGCGCGAUUGGAGCGGCCGAUAUCAGAUUAGGUAGUUGGUGGGGUAAAGGCUCACCAAGCCAACGAUCUGUAGCUGGUCUGAGAGGACGACCAGCCACACUGGGACUGAGACACGGCCCAGACUCCUACGGGAGGCAGCAGUGGGGAAUUUUGGACAAUGGGCGCAAGCCUGAUCCAGCCAUUCCGCGUGCAGGACGAAGGCCUUCGGGUUGUAAACUGCUUUUGUACGGAACGAAAAAGCCUUGGCUAAUACCCAGGGUCCAUGACGGUACCGUAAGAAUAAGCACCGGCUAACUACGUGCCAGCAGCCGCGGUAAUACGUAGGGUGCAAGCGUUAAUCGGAAUUACUGGGCGUAAAGCGUGCGCAGGCGGUUAUAUAAGACAGAUGUGAAAUCCCCGGGCUCAACCUGGGAACUGCAUUUGUGACUGUAUAGCUAGAGUGCGGCAGAGGGGGAUGGAAUUCCGCGUGUAGCAGUGAAAUGCGUAGAUAUGCGGAGGAACACCGAUGGCGAAGGCAAUCCCCUGGGCCUGCAC